UAAAAAAAAAAAAAAAAACUAAAACCACCCACCGUUUUUCCCCUCUUAACCGGCAACUAACUAACACUUCUCUUCAUUCUCGGUCCCCCAUGGCCGAUUCCGAGAAAUUGAUGGCGUUAAAGAAGGCCUACGCCGAUAUAAUACUGAAUACGGCGAAGGAGGCGGCGGCGAGGAUAAUGGUGUCCGAGAGGAAAGCGCAGCGGUAUCAACGUGAGCUGUUUGCCGCGAAAGACGAGUCGCUUCGUAUGCUUCUUAGGCUCAAACAGAUGCUGGAUUCUAAGGUUAGUGAAGCAGAAAUGGCAUCCUUGAGUCAACAGAGAAGGAUUGAAGAGCUGGAAGCACAACUUGGGGAAGCUGAGGAUAUAGUAAAAGACCUUAGAGCAGAGUUGAGAGAACUACAGGAUGAAUUGGAAAAGGUGACAAACAGACAGAUGCAGCCUUUGGGUAAACAAAAUUCAGAGGGUGAAAACAGUACUCAGGUAACUGCGUUUGAGGAUAAUAGGCUUAGUACUUCUGGCUCAGCUAUAUCUGCUAUACCUGUCUUACAGUGUGAUCCAGUUAUAAGUGUUGAGAUGAAGAAUUCAACUUUGAAUGGGACAUGUGAUGGCAAUAAGUGUUACAGUGAAAAUGAUUGUCAUAGAAACAAUUGCUUUCUUUGCAAUCCCGAUUUUGCCUCUAUAGUGAUGAGAAGCAAAGAGCCUGAGCUGUAUAGAAAUGGAUGCACACAGAGAAUUCGUGCUUUUGAGAGGUACCUUUUAGGUGGAAAUCCGCCACUUUCUGGGCAAGCUGAUGGUGUGAAGAAUCAGAUAUUUAUCAGAGGAGAUGAAGUAGAUAAGGAUAUAUGUAAACAACUCACUGCCAAGGUUGACAAUAUUUGUGAUUUAGAGAAAGGUCCAGAUGAAGUCAAGGAUAUUGAAGAAGGUAGUAGGAUUAGGAAAAGACUAAGAAAAAGAAAACUGAGAAAAAGAAAACUCUCUCGUUUUGGGCAAGCUGAAAAUGUAAAGAAUCAGAUAUUUAUCAGGGAAGAAGAUAAACAUUUAUGUAAGAACCUAACUGCCAUGGCUGAUAAUGGUUGUGAUAUAGAGAAAAGUCCAGAUAUAGCCAAGGAUGAUGGAGGUGGUAUUCCUAGAAGACUAAGAAGAAAAAGAUAUAGGAAACGUAGAGAAUAUAAGAUUUUUCCUCAUCGGGCUGUGGAUGACAAUGUUGAAACCAGGGAAGAUUCUAGGACAAUUGAUAAUAUAUCUCAGAAGGAUCCUGUGCCCCUUGUUGCCCCAAAAUCACCUUCAAGUACAAAUGAAAUGAUCACGCACUCAGGAUCUGUAGAAGUUACCAAAAGUGAAUCAGAGUUUGACAGGACUUGUUCAUUCCAGACAACAAACAGCAAUAAGUUGUCAAUAGAUCAAUUGGAGUUGACUGGACAAGACACUGGAUCUGCAGAGAAUCUAGAGUUUCCACCUACCAAAACUGAUUUUGAGAUUGCCAGCGUGUUGCUGUCAAGCUCAAAUUCAAAAGAGCCAGAUGUGACUGAAGCUGUUCCUACUCAAUCAAUGAAUAAUAAGUUUCUCAAGUACACAUUCCAAAGGAAAAGGAAGCGGGAAUCUCCAAGCAGCCCAGAUGGUGAUUCCUCUCUCAACAAUAGCAGUUUGAAGAAAAAGAUGGGGGAGAAACAAAGUGGUUCUGUGGAGUUACUCAAUUCGGGCUUGAUAGCUGAGUCAUCUAGAGACAAUAGGAGGAUGGCUCAGGUUGCUCGUCAGCUUAUAUCUUUGUCUGAAAAGAAAUGGCUGUAGAGAUGCAUUCAAAUCAUGCUGAUGUUGAACUUGGACAAUGAAUCCAAACCUUGUUAUCUGCAAUGUAGUUCCAAAGAUGGUGUUUCAUCAAGGAACUCCGAUGAAAAUGGCGGCUACAUAUUCAAGGAAGAGCAAUGGAUUCUUUAGCUUAAUUAAUGUGUGGGCAUUGUUAUGAUAUCCAUCUAGUUUUCUGCAUUGUUGUAUUUCUAUAAUCUUUAUAUAUUGAGGGUAUCAAGGCUUUCAACUAUUGUGGUCGAUUUUACUUAAAUAACAAUCGGAAUUUUUACUGAUUAUGCAAGGAUACCAAUUAUAAAUUUAUAAUGCAUAUUUCUUUGGUAGCCAGGUGGUCUUAAGUAUUUACU
rnacentral:misc_RNA from 1 species